rnacentral:tRNA from 1 species
AGCAGCGUGGCCUACUGGAUGGCGCGUAGACUUGGAAUCAAGAGGAUCUGUGUUCUAAUCCCAGCUCUGCCG